GCGGGCAGCGGCCGCACCCCGCGCGUUAGGGGGGCCCGGGGAACGGCGGCUGUCGCUGCUCGGGCGGUCUCGCCGGUCCCUCUGUGUGUGCACGAGGAGAUGGACAGGAGUGCCGCGCCCGGCAGACUCCAGGGAGAUGCCAAGAGACGGGAGCAACUCCCAUUUCCGCGUCGGGGAAACCUUUGUUGGUCGUUCCCGUCUCGCAGAGGCUGCAAAGGGCGCAGAGUCACAGCCGGCGCUGUGCCCGUCUGGAUGCUCCGAUGUAUGCAUUGCAGAUCUGAAUUUUCAGAGCAGUCCUGUGAAAAAGCAAGUUCCUAGACUUUGAGGAGUCUCUUGAUUGCCUAAAAGAACAAGAAGUGAACAUUAUUAAUAAAUCAGCCACAACACAUCUUUGGCAGUACAGCCGUCAUUUGCUUCUCACAGCUUGUUCAAUAGUAUUCUGUUCAGUCAAAUUUCAAC